UCUUUCUCUACCCAAUCCAAACCAAACCCACCUUUUCUCACCCGAAUUUUCUCUCCUAAACACUUCAUUUCAAAUCACAUCUUUGAAUCUAUCUGCUUCUAUGAUCUUCUGUAUUCACAUCUACACAUACAUACAUCACAUUGAGAAGCUAGUUUCCCAUCAAAAUUCUCAAGUAUGAGAACCAAAGCAAGCAACCAAAACAGAUUCAUGCAAUUCACACAGAUCUGUGAGUGAGCCACACAGAUUGCAGAUCCACACCCCAUCCCUAUCUAAAACAUUUCACGCCGCCGCCUCCUCCUCCUCUGCCGAUCUUGGCAGAUCCACCGCCACCGCCACGAGAUCCAGAGGCUUCAUCACUGAGAAGAACUCUGCUCCAUUGAUGCUCCGUCUUGCCCAGCAGGUUGGAAGUUAAAAGAGGAGUACUUGCCUUCUGGUUGGCUCUGCCUGUUGCUAAGGAUGGGAUGCAAGAGAAGGACUGGUUGGCUGUAGUUGUUGUCCACAGUGAUGCAUGGUUACUUGCCGUGGCCUUUUAUUUUGGUGCUAGAUUUAGUUUUGAUAAAGCAGACAUGUGUUCUUUCUUCCCUCUAUUAUCCUGUGGUGCAUUUGGAAUUAUAAGUUUCUAGUUUGCUAGAAUAUUGAAAUGUGCUGUGAUCCAUCAUAUCAUUAUAUGAAAAAGUAAGCCUAAAUGAAAAGGCAUGCGAGUGUGUGAAAAUUAUUAAUAAAAUUUAAAUUAAUUUUUAUAAAGCAUUUGAAGUACUUUUAACUCUACUAUAUGAUAUCCUUUUGACAGCCACAUGUAAUGGAAAUCUAGGUGCAAUUUGGUUCACGUGUUCAUCUGAAAAAGAAAAAAAAAAAUUAGGUGCAAUUUAAAUCUCCUUUUCUUUACCUGUUUGCUUGUUUGUUUGUUUUAUGUCUAUGAAAUCUCGCAAGUGAAGUGGGAUUUUGUUUUGAAGGAACAUGCUUAAUUAUUAUUAUUAUUAUUAUUUUUUUGUCUUCAAUUAAUUUUGUUGCUGUUUAUUUAUUUAUUUAUUUAUUUUUAAAUCCAUGCUAAUCUGUUAAAUCAAUUAGUGACUUCACUAAUUUUCCCUCAUUUAGUCUUGCUAUAUCAGUUAUAAUAAAUAUUGUGCAACUAACUCACAAACUGUUUAGUCAUUUUUGAUUACUUACCUCACUGGUUUUUGUUACAGAUUGAUGAUGUUGGCAUGGAUACAGUAAUGUUUUUGGGCUAGAUUGAUGAUGUUUGCAUGGGCUCAAUUUACAUUAUAUUUUUGUUUUAUGGAAAACAUGUACACCUGAUCUGUUUUGUUAUUGAGAUUUUUUUUAAAAUUUGGAUUUUAAUUGUUGGUUUGGAUAAUAUAUGUAUUUGUUGGAUUAUACUAUAUAUUUAUGGAUUCUUAUUUUCUUUGA